rnacentral:rRNA from 1 species
GAUGAACGCUGGCGGCGUGCCUAACACAUGCAAGUCGAACGGAGAUUACGGACGGAAGUUUUCGGAUGGAAGCCUGUAAUUCUUAGUGGCGGACGGGUGAGUAACGCGUGGGCAACCUGCCCUAUACAGGGGGAUAGCAGCUGGAAACGGCUGGUAAGACCGCAUAAGUCGGUUAAAUCGCAUGAUUUGAUCGGGAAAUGAGCAAUCAGGUAUAGGAUGGGCCCGCGUCCGAUUAGCCAGUUGGCAGGGUAAAAGCCUACCAAAGCGACGAUCGGUAGCCGGACUGAGAGGUCGGACGGCCACAUUGGGACUGAGACACGGCCCAAACUCCUACGGGAGGCAGCAGUGGGGGAUAUUGCACAAGGGAGGAAACUCUGAUGCAGCGACGCCGCGUGAGUGAAGAAGUAUUUCGGUAUGUAAAGCUCUAUCAGCAGGGAAGAUGAUGACGGUACCUGACUAAGAAGCCCCGGCUAACUACGUG